rnacentral:rRNA from 1 species
GAAAUUCCGGGGCUUAACUCCGGGCGUGCAGGCGAUACGGGCAUAACUUGAGUGCUGUAGGGGUAACUGGAAUUCCUGGUGUAGCGGUGAAAUGCGCAGAUAUCAGGAGGAACACCGAUGGCGAAGGCAGGUCUCUGGGCAGUUACUGACGCUGAGGAGCGAAAGCAUGGGUAGCGAACAGGAUUAGAUACCCUGGUAGUCCAUGCCGUAAACGGUGGGCGCUAGGUGUGAGGGCCUUUCCAC